CUCGUAGGCGGCCAACUAAGUCGGACGUGAAAUCCCCAGGCUCAACCUGGGAACUGCGUCCGAUACUGGAUGGCUUGAAUUUGGGAGAGGGAUGCAGAAUUCCAGGUGUAGCGGUGAAAUGCGUAGAUAUCUGGAGGAAUACCGGUGGCGAAGGCGGCAUCCUGGACCGACAUUGACGCUGAGGAGCGAAAGCUAGGGGAGCAAACG
rnacentral:rRNA from 1 species